UACAGAGGGUGCAAGCGUUAAUCGGAAUUACUGGGCGUAAAGCGUGCGUAGACGGUUAUGUAAGUUAGGUGUGAAAUCCCCGGGCUCAACCUGGGAACUGCAUCCGAAACUGCCUUGCUCGAGUAUGGGAGAGGGAAGUGGAAUUUCCGGUGUAGCGGUGAAAUGCGUAGAUAUCGGAAGGAACAUCAGUGGCGAAGGCGACUUCCUGGACCAAUACUGACGCUCAGGUGCGAAAGCGUGGGGAGCAAACAGG
rnacentral:rRNA from 1 species